rnacentral:rRNA from 1 species
GUGGGGAAUAUUCCGCAAUGGACGAAAGUCUGACGGAGCAACGCCGCGUGAGUGAUGAAGGUUUUCGGACUGUAAAGCUCUGUUGUUUAGGACGAAAGUGCCUGUUGCGAACAGUUACAGGUAUUGACGGUACUAAACGAGGAAGCCACGGCUAACUACGUGCCAGCAGCCGCGGUAAUACGUAGGUGGCAAGCGUUGUCCGGAAUUAUUGGGCGUAAAGAGCAUGUAGGCGGGAAUCUAAGUCUGUUGUGAAAAUGCGGGGCUCAACCCCGUAUUGCGAUGGAAACUGGGUUUCUUGAGUGCAGGAGAGGAAAGGGGAAUUCCCAGUGUAGCGGUGAAAUGCGUAGAUAUUGGGAGGAACACCAGUGGCGAAGGCGCCUUUCUGGACUGUGUCUGACGCUGAGAUGCGAAAGCCAGGGUAGCGAACGGGAUUAGAUACCCGGGUAGUCC